AGGGAAUUUUGGACAAUGGGCGAAAGCCUGAUCCAGCGACGCCGCGUGGGGGAUGAAGGCCUCCGGGUUGUAAACCCCUGUUGCGAGGGAAGAAGCCACCGCACGGAUGGUGACGGUAUCUCGCGAGGAAGCCCCGGCUAACUACGUGCCAGCAGCCGCGGUAAGACGUAGGGGGCAAGCGUUAUCCGGAUUCACUGGGCGUAAAGGGCGCGUAGGCGGCUAUGUAAGUCCGUUGUGAAAGCCCCGGGCUCAACUCGGGAACUGCGGCGGAUACUGCAUUGGCUAGAGGAUGGUAGAGGCUAGUGGAACUAGCGGUGUAGCGGUGAAAUGCGCAGAUAUCGCUAGGAACGCCGGUGGCGAAGGCGACUGGCUGGGCCACUCCUGACGCUGAGGCGCGAAAGCCAGGGGAGCGAA
rnacentral:rRNA from 1 species